rnacentral:tRNA from 1 species
GCACGAUUAGCUCAGGGGUAGAGCAUCGCCUUCACACGGCGGGGGUCGUUGGUUCAAAUCCAACAUCGUGUA